UCCUACCUCUCCUCUUGGCUCAGCUCAAA
rnacentral:piRNA from 1 species